rnacentral:rRNA from 1 species
CCUACGGGUGGCAGCAGUGAGGAAUAUUGGUCAAUGGACGCAAGCCUGAACCAGCCAAGCAGCGUGCAGGAUGACUGCCCUACGGGUUGUAAACUUCUUUUGUACGAGGAUAAAACGCGACACGUGUGCCUUUUUGCAUGUACUUUAUGAAUAAGGAUCGGCUAACUCCGUGCCAGCAGCCGCGGUAAUACGGAGGAUCCGAGCGUUAUCCGGAUUUAUUGGGUUUAAAGGGUGCGUAGGUGGUUUGUUAAGUCAGUUGUGAAAGUUUGCGGCUCAACCGUAAAAUUGCAAUUGAUACUGGUAGACUUGAGUACAGUUGAGGUAGGCGGAAUGCGUGGUGUAGCGGUGAAAUGCUUAGAGAUCACGCAGAACCCCGAUUGCGAAGGCAGCUUACCAAACUGUGACUGACAUUGAGGCUCGAAAGUGUGGGUAGCAAACAGGAUUAGAUACCCGUGUAGUC